AGAGUUAAUGGGCCAAGCAGUGUUUUAAUUAAAACAGUUUCUAUUUGAUUAUUUUGUUUCUGGGUUGCCUGGACAAAUAAGCGGUUCCUUGCAACAGUGAGCUGGUAUUUAUGUGUUCAAAUGUCAUUAGGAAACUUCAUUUGAUUUUUUUUUAACACAGAUGUGGAUAAUGAAGGGUUAAAAAUGACACACAGACCACCUCAGUAGUUUCCAGGCUGUGUUCAUCACACCUUGUCACAUUUUCUACUGCUAUAACAGAAUAUGAUAAGCUGAGUAAUUUAGACAAACAGAAUUUAUUUAGCUCAAUGAGUAUGGUACUAGCCUAUGAUGAGGGCCUUCUUGUUACUUCAUAGCGUGGUGAAAGUGAAAGUGAGCCCAGGACAGAGAUCAGAUAGGUCAACUGUAUACUCAUAAUAAAUCUACUCCUUUAAUAAUAAACAGCCCUAGUCCUUCAGAAAACCCCCCUAUGACAUCAUACCACUUAACAGCCUCUCCUUUUAAUAUUGUUUCAUAUAAAAAUAAAUUUCUAAUGUGUGACUGUGGGACGUUAGAUCCAAAUCAAAGGACCUCAUUGAAGCAAUCCAAGUAGCAGACACUCAGAAACAAAUCUCAAGGAUUCUAAUUGGAUGUGUCCUGGCUAGGUGUCAAGAAUCAGUAAUAACAUGACCUAUACCAAAAUUGCUAUGAGCUAAGUGGUCCAAAAGAAACAACUCCAGAUUAAUCCGUGAUGCAUCCAUACACCAAUGAUUGGAAGGUGAAGAGUGGGCGAGGUCCUUAGGGGCUCUCUUGCUCUGGCUUCUUUCUGUCGCCCAUCUCCUCUGCUUCCUGCCUGCCGAUACACGAGGUACUCAGAGCUGCCCCACCCUCCCUAUUAGGACCGAUUCCUCUGAAAUCAUGAGCCCAAGCAAAUGAGUCCUUUUAUUUAAACUGUUCCUAGAUAGUUUGGUCAGAGUGACACGAACAGUAACUAAGACAAGAAGGAUGUCAACAGCCCCUGAAGCCAUAGUCAUGGGUAGGACUCUAGAAUGGAUUUACAUUUUUGCAAUCAGGCAAUAUUAGCUUAUUCUAGAUGGUUAAAAAGAAGAAAACAAGCAUUUCAAGUUUUCAAAAUAGGGAUUACUCAAUUGUACAUUCUUCUAGUCAUUACUGUGCUCAUCUCUCUCUCUGCCUCUGCCUCUCUGGAGCUGGACCGGGAAUGUGUUUUUUAUCUUGGCCAAUUAUGUAGAUGUUAACUUAAUAUUUUUUUUCAGAUUCUGCUUUUCAAAAUAAUUUUAUAGCAGUAUUAACAACAUUUUAUGAGAAUAUAGCAAUAUGCUCAUUCUCUUCUCCUGACUAUGUUAGGACUGAUUUAAGUGAUAAGGAUUAUAUGAUAACUAAUAUUUAAUAUCUGUUUUACGCCCCCCCCCAUUAAACUAACAGCAAAGGUUUUUGGUAGCACAAACUGCCGUCACGUCACUCCUCCCCAAUAAGGUCCAGUUGAUUUAUCACCUUUCUCUGCCUCCAGUGGGAUGCCAGAUUUUGCAUACCGUUCCUCGGGAAAGUACACAGUUACAUGGUGGAGUUUAGCAAUGAAAAUUAUAGCUUUAUCUAAAUUGCUGCUGUUGUAAUAAGAAUACUUCUCCAUGUCUCCAUGACAUGUUUCUUUCUGAGAAUGUGUUGAUUAUUGCACUUUCCUGGGCUUUUCAUGAUAAAGUUUUUGUUUAAAUCAAAAAACUUCAUUUAAAUCUGCCUUUUGGUUGCAUGAGUCUUCCUAAAACCCACAAGAAGAAGAGAAUUUUGAAUCCCCUAAGUUCCAGUUGGAGAAGGGGAAGAUGGAGAAUAAUACAAAGAACUACAACUAGUCCAAGUGUAGAGAAUAAAUGGCUGUGGAGUGUUCAGCCCUCCCCGAGACAUCUGUAAUGCAGCUUCUACACAUCCAAGGCUCAGGUUAUAUCUUGGAGGAGUUGUUGAAAUAUAAGAAAAAGUGGACUAUGGAAUUCCUUCCAUCUAUUCUGUUCAAGACAAGACAGAGACUUUGCACCUGUGAACUCUUAAAGUUAUAGCUGCUUUCACAAGACCUGAAAAGACCACAACAGUAGACACACUGAUGUGGACUGAGAAAGGCUUUUAAGACCCUAUCCUAAUGGACGAGCUCCAGACAGUCAUGGCUACUGUGGGAGGAAAAGUCCGUUUUUAUCAUAGAGGAGCUCCUGAUAGGUCAUGCAAGUCUAAGUGGUCAUCUCUAAUUCCAUGUACAUAUGAGUAACACCAAUUGGAUGUGUAUACAUACAUACACAUAUAUGCAUAUAUGUGUAUAUAUAUUUAAUAAGAAAAUAUGCAUUUGAGAGAAAGACAAUCCUGGGAUGGCACAGAAUUAAUGGGGCGAGGCAGGGGUUGAAAUAAUACAGUGCACUUACGUGUGAAAUUCCAAAAAAAGUUUUUGAACAGAAACAUUUUACAAAUACAGGGGGAAAAAAUCCGAUCUAAAAUCCAAGCAGAGUGUAAUGUGCAUGAAAACAGUUUGGAGGAUGUUCUGUGGUUCUUGAGGUGGGGGAGGAAACUUUUUUGAUUAUUAUUCAGCUUUUGAUCUAAUAUCAUGGUGUUUUUCUUUUACUACGCUGAAGGUCAGAUGGUAGAAGCUUAGGAGGAAGAAAGUAGUUGUGAUGAGCUCGCAGCCUUUUGAUUGCCAGCUUCCUUUCGUAGUUGCCAACUCAGUUUCUUGCCUUUUUCCAUCGCCUGCAACACGCUUGCUCUGCUGGAUUGUGGAACAACCUGAUCGCAAGCUGCAUGGUGGAUCCUGUUUCUGCACCGACAGGCAACGUGCUUAGCAUGCACCUGCAGCAACGACUUUCAGAGAUUUUUUUUUAAAUUAAAUUGUACUAAGGUGAUUUAUUUUCAAGUAAAGUUGUUUAGUAGGCCUUCAUCUGAAUUUCGACUUCUAAGACGCUGAUAUGUUCGGUGUUGAACCCAAGCAGAGGUCAUGAUCAAGUGUGAGCUUGUGGUUCAGUGACUCCUAAAGUCACACAAUCAGUUGCCGAGUUCUUUUGUUUUCCCUUCAGGAAACUGAUGAGAACAACUUGAAGCAUGUGGAAACAUUUCGACCUUGUGAGUUACUGGGACUAAGGAAAGGGGGACAUGUACUCUCUAAAUUCUGUCCAAUGAAGAUGGCGUUUAGAACACUAUUACUAUCUUUCAGCUUCAGUGCAUCCUUGUGUGCUGGAAAGACCCUGCAGAUGUUAAAGAAACUCCUCCAUAGCUGCAAAUAGAAGGCUGGAAAAUGCAAGCAGCUUGUCCUGCAGUCAUUGUUCCAGAUGAAAAGGAAUGCCUUCCGACACUGGAGCUUCUGUACUGUCAGCUGCAUUGCGAAGGCUUGCUCAAUUGUCCUCAAGCACUACAUGUUGCAAGCAGCUGUCAGCCAGGAAAAAAAAAAAGACCGCAACAGGCACAUUUGUAGACAAGAUGACACCUGAAGAGGACUACAGAACACAAACAACUUCACGCAACGCCACUGUUUUCUUGGACUUGUCUUUGUCAAGCUGGCAGGGAGGCUUGCAACACCGAGCCAAGGGAGCAACGGCCCCCUUGGAGAGUUUGGAGUGGGCCUCUGAGCAUUUGAACAUGAAUGGGUGGUGAUGUGGGUAAAAAGGAAGAAUGAAGACAACACCACUGUAAAUGCCAGAUUUAUGGUUAGGCAGACAAUAACACAGAGGAACAGAAUUACACAAUUUUGUAAGAAUGGAUCUUUAACUAAUUUUGUAAUAGAAGAGCACAAUAGGACAAGGAAAAUCCAUUACAGGGUAUAUCAGUCCACCAAAAGAUGGAGAGCUGAAAAAAAAUGUGUUUGUUCAGUGAUGAUCAAACAGAAUUAAAGUCACAUGUCACACUGCAGUGGACAGGACGUGCACCAUGGUGUGGCAAAAAAAAAAAUAAAGAAUCAUCUUCAGUAUAUUAAAGGGGGUUGUUUCACAAAAGAUCUAUAGAAGAGAAAAAUAAAAAUUAAAUAGAACCUUC